GGCGGGGCUGCCGCCCGCGCGGACACGUCACCGGGGGGGGGAGGGAGGCGGUCCGCGGUCCCCGAGCUCAGGGCGCGGCCGGGCUCCCCCCAGGGGCUGCCGCGGCGCCUGCGCAGAGCCAGCCCGGGCCCGCCCCCAGGCCCGGUCACUGGGCGGCCCGCUGCCGACGUGGCCGCAGUCACGGGCUGAAGCCGCGUUCUCCGCCGGCGCGCGAACCAAGUGCCCCCUCCAGCCGGGGCAUAAAUAACGCACGAGCAAGUCCAGUCCGUCGGAGCUGCGCGGGCCGCGUGACCCCGCUCGGCGCUGAGGCCAUUUCCAACGGAAAACCUUUAUUAGCCCCCGGCUAUUUCCACCGGUCCCCCCGCCCCGCGCCUGCGCGCCUUAACAGCCCAGUCCCUGACGAGUGACGGCAGCGAACCUCACCGACGUUUAACUCUGAAAUCGGUUUAAAUGUGAGCUACAGCCUGUGUUUCAUUUAACCAGCUCCCAGGCCUGCUGUUAAUAGGGACAGAACAGCUGCAUAAUUCCCCUCACUUGGGAGAAAAUUCCUCCUUGAAACAUAUUUCUUCACUAUCACCUUCAAAUAAUCCUCCUCCACUGCGAAGUACCUGGGGUAUAUGGAGGGGAGAAUAUCCACUGGCAGUUGAGCGAGUAGACUGGGUCUGGGCAGUGUUGUCUGUCCACUUUAGCUUAUGACCACCUAAGGUUCUGCUCCAGCAUAUGCAUCCUGAUGUGACACUACCCCUCAACGCAAAACCCACAGAUGGCAAGUAAGAACAGGAUGAGGGUGGUGCUGUAUGAGUGCAGGGUGAAGAGUCUACACAGACAAGCAGGACUGGGCACAACCAAAAGCAGUGCUACAGAUGAUACAUGUUCUUACUUGGAUACCCAGAACCUUGCACACUGUGUCUCCAUGCAACAAUGUAAUUGGAAAGUGACACCAGCGAGAGAAUGGACCCAGCGCAGAUAAACCCCAAAGGAAAGGAAAGAUCAUUACUUGACCAGGUGAAA